UCGCAGCAAGGCGCCGACCAUCUCCCGCCGACCAUCUCCUUCUUCUCUUCUCCUCUCCGCUCCGUCCAAACCCAGCCUCACCGCCGCGUCUCCCCUACUGAAGCCGAACGCCCGAUCUGCCGUCUCCAUCUCCGGUUCGCGAAGCAACCUUGCAGCAGUCGUCCCGCGCGCCGAUCUGCCGUCUCCAUCGCCGGUUCUGUCUCCGUCGAAGCCACGGUUCUGCAACCGUCUCCGUCGGUUCUGUCUCCGUCGACCACGCUCCCCGCUCACAACCGCCGCUCCACCUGCUAUCAACGUCGGCCGACUAGUUGCUGUAACCGUUCAGAUUUGCUGUAACCGUUCAGAUUUGCUGUAACCGUUCAGAUUCGCGGUCUGUUCGCGACGGUCUCCAUCCGUGAAGCCCAGCCGCUACGUUCCCUUUGGCCGACCGCUGACCGACCCACACUUAGGAUUUUUGCUGCGAGUUCGACAUUCGUGCGUUGAGGUGUUGGGAGUAACGUUAGGCUCCCUUACAUUCACAACCCGUUUGUGAAUUGUUGAAGGUUCAGUUCGCCAAUAUAUCGGAUUGUUUUGAGGACGUUAGUUGAUUAAGGAGCUUCCCUAACUUUGAGGCAAAGGUAAUAAAAGCGGCAAACCGGCGAGGGGCAGGAAGGAAGCGUGACUGCCAUAGGAAAUAUGUUGUUUGCUUCCGCUUAUGGGUUCUUGUGAGGUUUAAGAUGAAUUGAAAGUUUGCUUACAAACGUUUAUUGUAAAUAGUAUUGUUUUUAUGUUUUCUUAAAUGUUUGAAAUUCAGGCCUGACUUAAAGAUGUUUUUAAAUUAGCUUA